rnacentral:lncRNA from 1 species
CCACUGUUAAACCACCACCUUUACCUCUUAUGACUGGUAAAAUAUAGUAUUUCACACCUGUUGUUAAUUGUUUUCCUGAAAUGUCAAGAACUGGUUCAGGUGCUGCAAUAGUUUUGCAAAUGAAGGCUAAACAAAGGAUGGAAAAUGCUAAGAAUGAGGUUUUCAUUUUUCUCUAAGGAUUUAGAAGAAUAGAUUAGAUGAAUAUUUUUUGUGUAUUAAUAUAGAAAGAGUAUGUAUCUAUUUAUAGGACUUAAAAGGUAAUGAGUUUUUUGUAUUUUAAAUUAAUUUGCAUAAGGGUGGUGACGGGGGACCAAGUUGAGUGGGAUUGUGGGGCAUGAACAAAAAUAUAUAUUAUAUUAAGAAAGAUGCUAAAAGACUUCUAAUAAUGUGUACAUUUUUUUUAGAGGAAGUACUAUUUUAUCAUGAUUAUCACAUGUUAAAUAACUAUCAUAGAGAAAUAUGUGCAUUUCUAUGAGAUAAUGUUGGCCAGUCGGUGGAGAAGAUGUACAAUAGCAUUCUUCAACCUUUUCUCACUUCAAUUAUAGAGAAGAAAAAUAAUUAGCAACUAUGAUGAAGGUACUAGUAAGAAAGUAAAAAAAUAAAAUUUUAUAUUUAAAAUAAAUUUUUUAAAUUUUGUAAAAAGUUGAAUGUAUCCACUUUACACCAUUUUUGACAUUAAAAUGCUGUAUGACAUCAUAUAGUCUUAAGAAACAUCGAAUUUUUAUAUGGUUGUCAAUUUAAUAUUAUUCUUUUCUCUCUAUCAAACUAACAUUUAUACAAUUGUCCAAAACAUUGUCACAUUGUAGUUUUCAAAGAUCACUCAUCUUUACAAUAAUAUUUUAAAAAACAAACCAAACAUCAUAUUUAUGAAAUAUUUAAAUCUUGUAUAGGUUGAUUUGUCAUAAUCGUUUUUAAAUGUAAAAUUACACAUAUAGUUGCUUAAUUUAAUUUCUAAUAACGAUAUAUAAGUUCUUAAUCCCUUUUCACAUCAUUUUGAUAUGUUUGCAUAUCAAUUUUCUAGUUUCAAUUCUUCAAAAAAAAAAAAAAAAUUAAGUUUCAAAUUUAAAUUCAUAAAUAAAUUUGAAGAUUGAGAGCUAAAAAUAUAAAUAAAACUUCAAAUUCAAAGUUUAAUAAUGAUAUAUUCAACACCGCAUUAUCUCUUUUUUCUCUUUUUUUCAUUAUACUACUAAUAUGACUUUUUUAUAGGUGUCUAUCAAAUAUUUUUCAAGAAGUUAAGCAUGUCGAUUAGCAUUUUCAAGCGGUGCUACGUACCAACACAUGUUAGCCCAUUAACCUCACGUGCACAUCAUAUGUCAACAGCCGUGAUUCUUUGACUUGUGUUAGAUGGAAACAAAAUAAUAGCUGUCCUAAUUAAUAGCUAAAAUUGGACUCCACAAUACAUCUGUGACAUUGUGGCAAGAAUCUCACAUAUAUUGUUUAUCCACAAUGUGACAAACUACCGUCUAACGAGAUUAUAACCUUGAAUCUAAGAUUAGGGAGAUUAUGGUCAAUAAUAAUUCUAUCAAAAGAAUAACUUCAAGAUUUACUGAAAAAACUUUAGAAUGGAGAUUAGGACGGGAGUUCAGAAUAGAAAGGCUCAUUUCAAAAUUAAGCACUCUUAUAAUUUGAAGGAAACUUGCUCUCCAAGUCUUACUUGUUCAUAUUAAAAUUUCAAUACAUUCUUAAUAACAUUUUAGAAUCAUAUCCUUAUUCUCAUUUUGUUGUUAGUAAAGCAAAAAAAAUUCAGGUAUUAUUUUUUACUUCACUAAGUGUUGUUUUCGUGUUUUAAAAAUCAGAAACUACUACCAAAGUAAUUACCGGGUUGAGUCACGAUCAAGUCGCUCUUUUUAAGACGUUUUACGACACUACCUAAGUUUGUGCAAGGUAGACUAACAACUGUGACGCCUCCAAGAUAAAAUAGCCCAGAUCACUGUUCAAUUACGUACUGCACAUUAUGUAAUUGUUCGAGAAUAUACACCUCAAAAACAUGGCUUAAUUGUUCGAUUAAAACCACUCAAUAUGGUACGUAACCACUCUUAUCAAAAUUGAAGGGACAGAAAGGAGUAGAAGCAGAAGAAGGACUCGUCAACACAAGUCGAAGGAGGGAGAAUAGACGAAAAGCACAGGAAUCAUCAACUAUGAAUUUCGGUGUAAAGAAUGAGUGGGGGAGCUCUCCUUUUAUAGGCUGAGUUCGUAACAAAAAAACGAGUGACUUAAGGAUAAUGAUUAAAUUGAUUAAUUAAUUAAUUUAUCAUUUUCAAGUGACAACACAAAAAUAUAUAUCAUUUGACCCAAGCACAGGAAUCAUCAACUAUGAAUUUCGCUGUAAAGAAUGAGUGGGGGAGCUCUCCUUUUAUAGGCAGAGUUCGUAACAAAAAAACGAGUGACUUAAGGAUAACGAUUAAAUUAAUUAAUUUAUCAUUUUCAAGUGACAACACAAAAAUAUAUAUCAUUUGACCGGCGGCGUCAUCGCACGAUAUAUAUGUUUUUCUAAACGCUCACCUGUUCACAAAAUACCCAAGGACAUACCCUUGGAGGUCACCCCACCCUUAUAUAAACACUUGCUAGUUGGUGUGCCUCACCAAUGUGAGACAUUUUUAAGUCACGCACACUAAUUCUUACAUAGUGUUUUUCUAUCCAACUUUUCACUAGAAUUAACUAGUGUUCCAACACUAAGUGUCUAAACUGUAGAAAUUCUAAAUAUCCAACAAUAUUCACAUAUUUCAAAAUUAUAAGUAAAUAUUGAGAAACAAUGUUAUGUGUUAAUAUGAUGGGUUGAGCGUCUGUAAUAUUAUAAUCUAUGUCUUAUAUGUUGCAAGCAUGUCGAAUAUUUUGAGCACCAAAUUUAGUAAAAUGUUCAUCAAAUUCUAGUUAUUAGAAAUUAUAUAACAAGUUAUCUAAGCAUUUUAUAAUGAUCAUUUUCAUGGAUUUUUAUAUAUGAACUGCAUCUAAUAGUUGCUUGUAUUGUAGCUACUCAUAAUGCUAUCCAAUUCCAAAUUUGAUGUCAUAAUUGCUAAUUGAAUUUGAAUGUCUCAGAUAGGAGUAAAAAUAAAUAAAGGACUCAAUCAAUUAUUGGUUUAAUUUACUAAAUAUUAAAAUGCUGAAAUCAACUAGAUUUUAGUAACCACUAGGCUCUAAUCUCUAAGAAGUUAUAAACAGAAAAUAGAAAGUAGAAAUAUCUUAUGAUGCAGUUGAAUGAAGAGCUACUAAUGAAGCAUAAACACCAUGAGUAUUGUUCAUCAACUCAUCAUGUCUUCCCUUUUCAGCAACCAUCCCAUUUUUUAUUACUGCUAUAGUAUCAGCGCCUCGAAUUGUUGUAAGACGAUGAGCCACGAUGACAGUAGUUCUGUUCAAACUCACUCUAUCUAGAGCCUCUUGAACUAUACGCUCUGACUCGGCAUCAAGUGCACUUGUUGCCUCAUCAAGCAAAAGUAUUUUAGGGUUUUUCAGCAUGGCUCUUGCAAUCGCAAUGCGCUGCUUCUGUCCUCCAGAUAGUUGUGUGCCUCUUUCGCCAACAGAAGUGUCAUAACCAUCAGGAAGAGAACUUAUGAAGUUGUGUGCAUUGGCUGCGUUCGCUGCUGCUAUGAUCUCAUCCUCCGUAGCACCAUCUUCUUUACCAUAAGCUAUGUUGGCGCGAAUGCUUUCGUUGAAAAGAAUAGGCUCUUGACCAACCAAACCCAUUUGUUGUCUCAACCAGCUUAUUCUGAAAGUUUUGAUAUCCACUCCAUCUAGUAAUACGCGUCCGGAAUUAGGGUCAUAAAAUCUCUCUAAGAGGCUGAUAACUGUUGAUUUUCCACUGCCGCUUUCUCCAACCAAAGCAACAGUCUGCAAAGACAUACAUAUAUCAUCAAUUUAAAUACAUACUUUACACAUUCUCAAUACUGAUUUGUAGAACUAAAAGUUUACCUUUGCAGAUGGGAUGCUUAGGGUUAAAUCUUUGAAAAUUUGAAUGUCGGGUCUUGUUGGGUAACUAAAGUUGACGUGUUGAAGUUCGAUGUUGCCAACGACAGUUUCUUGUGUUACACCAUCAUUGCUGCUGGAAUCAAUAUCAGGUUUGCUGUCAAGAAUGUUAAAUAUUGAAGCUGCGGAAUCUAUGGCCUUGUUAGUGUCGGGAAACAAUGUAGAAGACUGGGAAACAGACAUUGCUGUCAUUGUCAAACUAAAGAAAACCUGCAUAAUUUAUUUUGUAAGAACCAGAUUAAAGGAAACAUUGAGUAAAUAUAAAUUAAGCCAAGUUAGGUGAUUGUAAAAUCAUCUGUACCCUGAAAAUUUCUACAAACGUUGCUUUCCUGUGAUGCACUAAAAUAGAUCCUAUGUAGAAGAUGAAAGCAUUUGUGCAAUAUAGAAUUAAAAAAGAUAAACCAAAUCCUACACCACUAACAAGCCCCGAGCGAACACCUUGUUUCGCUGGUCCAGAACAUUUUUUCCCGUACAUGUCCAUCACCUUUGAUUCUGCACAAAAUGACGCAACAGUUCUGAUGCUACUGACAGCAUCACUUGCCACCUGACUUGCCUCUUCAUACAUAACCUAUACAGACGGAUUAAAGAAAAAAAAAUCUCAUGAUUUCCGCAAAGUAUAAUGUAAUUGAGAAACCUUCAAGUAAGACUAACCUUGGCAUCACCACUAAACCCUUUAAGAAACUUCAUUUGAACCAUUCCUUGCAUAAGAAUCAAAGGUGACACAGCCAAAACUAUAAAAGCUAGAAUCCAAUUAGCAGUGAAUGCUAUAACUAGACCAGCUACCACCGUUGUUAUGUUCUGCACCAGGAGGGACAAGCUGUCGCCAACAAUACCUUUCACAGUUGAUGCGUCAACGGAUAACCUUGCACCAACUGCACCACUGCAAGGUGAUUCAUUUCUUUCAGUUUCAUGCGUAGAACUAAUAAAUUCAUCAUAAAUUUUGUCUUGAAGUAAAAUACAAUUUGUACAUACCUUGAAUGUGCUGGAUCAUCAAACCAUCUAAUUUCUUGGUGCACAAUCUUCGCAAAUGUCAAUGAACGAAUUCUUUCAAUAAGUUUUCCACCAGCAGUCCCAAAGAAGUAAUUCUUUAGUGGAAAAACUACUAGUGUAACCAAACCUAAACCCACAUAUACAAGUGACCAAAACCUGGACUCUUUCCUCUGCUGUUCUGGAGGUUUAUAAAACAUACUAAUGACUGCUGAAAACAAGAAGCCAAAUAUAGGGAACACGACACCAUUUACCAUUGCAGCAAUGGUUCCAAGUAGUAUGACAGGAAGCUCCGGCUUGUUCAACUUGGCCAAACGCCAUAUAGAAUUUUUCAUUGACAUUUUAGGUUUUUCGUUGUUAUCAACUUGACCUUGUUCAAUAUUUGCAUCUACUAUUUCUCCAGACAACUGGGAAUGUCGAUGACUCAUCGAUGAAGUUUGGCUUAUUGAUCUGACAAAGGAAAUUCUCUGAGUUGAAGAUCCAGCCAUGUGAAUAUCUAUAUUUAAAUUGUCACCGAACUUAUCUACUUCAGAACUUCUGCUACCUUCAGCUUCUUUUUCUCCUUCUUGUAGACGAAUAAGUUGAGAAUAAGCACCGUGAGGAUCCAUGGUUAACUCGCUAUGAGUUCCUACAAAAAAGGAAGCAUGAAAAAGUGAAUACAGUAUUCCAAAAUCUUACAAAAUUGGAUUCUCAUACUAAAAAUGUUAGUUCAUGUGUAUAACCAACCUCUCUCGACGAUUUUCCCCUGUUGAACCACUGCGAUUGUGUCAGCAUGUAUGAUAGUAGUCAAACGAUGCGCAACGACAAUAGUAGUCCUUUUUAAUAUAAUUUUUUCUAAUGCUUCUUGAACAAUAUGUUCAGACUCAGCAUCCAACGCACUUGUUGCUUCAUCAAGAAGAAGAAUUUUAGGGUUCUUCAAUAUUGCCCUAGCAAUUGCAAUUCUUUGCUUUUGCCCUCCAGAAAGUUGAGUCCCAUUUUGCCCUGCCAUUGUAUCAAGACCCUGCAAAUACAAUAUAUACCGCAUCAUUCAAAACAUAAGAAUCACAUUCUGCAAUAUUUAAUACGAUUCAAAUUAGUCAAAACACAAGAAUUUAUACACACACACCUGAGGCAGCCUGUCGAUGAAGUUUUUGGCAUUAGCAAGUGUUAUUGCUGUUGUUAUCUCCUCAUCAGUUGCACCUUCUUUCCCAUAUGCUAUGUUCUCUCGGAUAGAAGUAGUAAACAAGAUAGGUUCUUGACUAACUAGUCCAAUCUGUUCUCGUAUCCAUCUAAGUUGCAAGUUCUUCAAAUUCACACCAUCUAUAAGUACUUCUCCAGCAUUAGGGUCAUAGAAUCUUUCCAGUAAACUGAUUACAGUAGACUUCCCACUUCCACUUUGACCGACCAAAGCAGUAGUUGUGCCACUUGGAACAAACAAUGAGAAUCCAGCAAAGAUCUCCACAUCUGGUCUUGCAGGGUAUCUGAAGUGAACAUCUCUGAGUUCAAUAUCUCCCUUUAUAUCUUCCAACACAAGACCACUGGUAUCAUAUGCAUCGAUUUUUGGCUUUCUUUUAAUCGUCUCAAACAUUUUAUAUGCUGCUGCUUUGCCUGCAGCAAAUGCAUGUAAGCUUGGGGAUGUCUGACCUAAUGACCUGUCCAUCAAUGAAAAUUCAUAACAAAAAAAUCAUAUGCCUAAACAAUGCAAUUUAUUCAAUCAGGUACCAAUGUCUCACUUACAUUGAACCAGUCACAAGAGCUAUGACCACAGUCAUGACCGUUCCGCCAUUAUAUCCUUUCGCAAUCACUAGCUUGGAACCAUACCACAUGGCAAGUCCGUAAGAGCAGAAGAUAAUAAGGAGAAGCGUUCCCAUUCCUAUCCCUGAUGCUAUGCUUUGUUGAACCAUUGCAGUAUAAGCAAUUUUUAUCUUGCUAUUAUACUUCUCUAUGGCUUUUUUCUCACCAGUAAAAGAUGCAACCUGAUGAAUUUUCAAAAUUAAAGGUAAAAAAUACAAACUGAAAUUAAUCAUUCAAUAUUUCUGAACUGAUGCAAAUUUCUUACUGUUCUCAUGGAUCCAACUGUUUGAUUAGCAACAUUUCCUGCUUCUGCAUAAGCAACUUGUCCGCGAAUUGCCAUUUUAGCCAUCACCAUAGCCAUGAAAGCACCGGCAACAACAAUACAAGGUACACAUGCGAGUAAGACUAGAGCUAAGCGCCAUCCUUUUAUAAAUGCAAUUACAAAGCCACCAAAAAAAGUUGAACCAAGUUGAAGAAACUUCCCAACCUGUCAGAAUUAAAAUUAGAUUAACAUCCAUCGUGUUGACCAGUAACUUCAAGUAAAAAUUCCCGACAUUGCAAAAGUUAAUAAGUUACUUGAAAAACAAGUUACUUCACUAUUUACACAAAAUUGGAGUUUUUCAUAAGGUUUCUUGCAAAACAAGUUACUAAGUACAUUAAAAUGUAUAGGUCACUUCACUUCCACAGUAAAACUUGUAAAAACAUUUACACUGACAAUUAAUCUUCCACAGUGAAAACUUGUACAAACAUUUAUACUAACAAUUAAUGAAUGUGAUUGUAUACUAAAAGAGGAAGAUUUAUAUACCUUUUCUCCCAUAGCUUCUUGAAUGAGAAUUGUGUCACCAGACAUUCUACUAAUUACCUCUCCUGUGUUUGUUUCAGUGUCAAAGAAUGCAAUAUCCUGCUUUAAUAUGGUUUUCAAGUACAAACUACGAAUCCUCGCAGAUUGUCUUUCUCCUGUCACCAUCCAACAUGAUACCUCUGCAGCAUGCAACAAAGUCACCCUCAUUAUCAGAAUGAAUGCAAUAAUUAGUCUCGAACACAAUAAAUAAGCAAACAAAGUAAAAAAGUGUGGUCUUACGUAGAAAUGAUGUUAUUCCAGACCCAAUAGCCAGGUAAACAAAUAGCAAUGAUACCUGAAAUUUGAACUGUGUUAAAGAAUGUUUAAUAUUAUGGUAAUUAGUGCAUGCUAUGAUAGAUCCAUUUUGGUAACAAGUAUUCUUUUGUGUGUCUUAAAUCUGGUUACGUAUUGUUCCAAUCGAGAUUGAAACUCGAGUUUUUCAAGCGAUUAAGCAGUUAUCAGAAAAAUAAACCUAUAUUGGUGAAUUAGAUAAUUUCAUAGAGUGAAAUUGUCACAUACUCACAUAGUAAAAGAAAAGUGUUAAUAGCUAAUAUAUUUACUAUGUGUGCAUUUAAAAAUAUACUUAGGGUGUUUAUGCAUGUAUGAUUUUGAAACAAAUUAAAUUUUAAUCAUAUCAAUUCGUAUAUAAUUCUAACUGUGCAUAUCUCAUUAACUUUAUAACCUAAUGUAUAAUUAAAGAAAAAUAGUAAUAGAACAAUAAAUAUUUGGUAACACUAGAUGAGUGUCAAAAUGUACACAACAAAAAGAUGUGUAAAAAUGAAAAAAAUAAAAUUAGUAAAGAUGAAUAACGUACUUUAAUUUAAAAUGCAUGAACUUACGCUUUAAAGAAGAGUGCCUAAAAAAAGGAAAAAAUAGCCUUGUUUAUUUUUUGACGAAAGCAUGCCCUUUUGUUGUAUAACUAAUUUUGGUUCAGAUUUAGAGUAAAUUCAAUUGAUUAUUCAAAUCAAUUUGAACUAUUUUUUUGGUAUAAAAAAAUCAAUUCAAACUAAUUUAAUUAGUUUGUUUUGAAUUACUAUAACUUUAUCAUGUUAGUUUGCAUAUCUGCUAUCGAUCCAUUAAUGCGAAAACAAACUAUUAUAGGCCCCUUCAAUGAAUAUGUGUUUUCAUGAUUGCUAAUUUUGUACUCGUCUACAGUCUCAAUCAAACUCCGGAUAACCAAGACCGUUAACCUUAGAACCGAUCUCAACCGGUAAAGUAUCGGGGAAUCGAACUCAAUCUUUAUAAUUCCAUUAAUUUGGCUUCACUCUCUUGAUAAAUUAUUAACUUGCAAAAGUUCCAAGAAUAUACAUGCAUGUUAAUUUGCACUAAAAAAAAUACAAAGCAAAAAUGAUGCAAUAUAUUUAUAAAAACCUUGGAAACUUGAUUGAGAACUUCUGAUUGAUUAGAGGAACCAAAAGCAUUGAUGACUUUCCCAAGAAGAAGUGUCAUGAGAGGACUUGCAAAUCCAUUAGCCAUGGCAGAAAUAGUGCCAAUGAUCAUCAAAGUUACGUCAAGACGAUCAGCAAAACUAAAGAGCUUGUAGAAUGGAACUAUUUGGUUGGCUUUGUUAACAUGUUGUUGGGUAGAUGAUGAAGAAUUUUCAUGUACCUCAGUGUUAUCUGCCAUCAGUGUUUAAACCCUAGAUUGAAUCUCAAAGUAGUAAAUGAAAGUGUGUUAGACUUGCAUGUGAAACUAACUCUAUAUAAUAUAGGUCAAGUCUCGUGAAAAUAGGGAUACAGUUUUUUUGUUUCUUGAGUAAUACACUUAAAGAAUUUUGUUCAUCAAGAAAAAGAAUACUCUCCGUUUAUUGCUCAAUUGACAAAAAUAAAUAAAUAAAUAAAGUACAGCUCUUUUUUUUUUUUUUUCUUUCGCACCGGUUACCGACCUACCAAAGGUGGACGACUGAUUCGGCUCAUGCGUAGAGGCAUGCGCACUGGCCAAACGUUGUUCCCCUGGAAAUCGAACCCGGUAUUCCCUGGGUACGUCCUUGGAAGGAGCUCAUUGCCACUAGAGCCCAAACAACUUGGUUAGUUGAGCUCCUUUUCUUUUUCGUAAGAUUUACUGCUCAUUUAUUAGAUGUGUAAUUGCUAAACAAACCAAAAAAAAAACUUUGACACAAAUACAGCGAACAAUGUUUUUUUUUUCCUUCCAUUUUAUUUUAUUUUUUACAUUUUAUUAAAGGUGAAUUUUAGGAUGAUGGUUCAAUCAAGUUCCUCACCAAUGAAGCACCAAAAACUCUUCAUUAGAUCGAAUCAAUGGUCCAAAUUAUUUGAAAAUAAAUAUAAGAACAUUUAUUCCAUUCUACACACAACCCUACCCUUGUUUCUUUCCCAUUUGCAUCAUUUUCAAUUCAUCACAAAUAUGCAAAUGCUUGUUGAAAGUUAUAUGGAAGCCGUGAUGAUUAAAAAUUAGCCCUACCAUAUGGUGCAAUUGAAUGAUGAUUAUUGUUUUUCUGUUUUUAUAACUUAAACAAAUAUUAUAAAAAGAUAGUAUUAUAACAAAUAUUGUUCAAGAUCUAUUGAGAUAUGUAGGUUUCAAGUUGUGGUGUUUGCUUACACUCCGGUACUUUAUACUUGAAAGAGCUUUUAUGCUUUCUGCUUUAUUUUGGGAGCUAUUAACACUUGAAAUUUGAUAUCGCAUUGGCGGUCGAUCCAUUCGUCAGUUUUAAACUUAACUAUUCUUCGCAGAUGUUCACUCUUCAUAUUUUUUGUAACUUGAUUUCGUGCAUGUACGUAAGUUCGCUAGGUUGCACCCGUGAUUAAUAAAUUUUGUUAGGAUAUAUUAGGGUUGGUCCACUUGAUCUAUUUUAUAACAAUCUAUUCCCAUUUAGGUUGUACCUCAGUCAGAUCUAAUAUCCCCCAAUGUCUGUAUUUUUUCUCUUUAUUUAAUAUAAUUUUCCUUUUGCUUAAAAAAAUUAAAAAAUCUCACCCAAAAAGGGCAUCCCCUUUGUAUAUUUUUAUUGAUUAUAUAUGUGUAAGUUAUAAACUUUUAAUAUAUCCUAAUAUUGCAACUAAUAAAACACAUCAAGCACUAUAGCCCAAUGGUUCAUGAGUUAUUCUUUAUAGUCUGUGUCACGAAUUCAAUUUCGUCGAAAAAAAUGACAAAAGCAGGGAUUUAUUUAUUUUUUAUCCAGGGUUUGAACCGCAAAGACAAUGAGUUGAACCCAAAGAAAAACUAAAGAUUUAAACUAAACUCAACUAAAGAUUUAUCCAGGGUUUGACAAAAGCAAGGAUAUAUUAUGCAUUUACUCGAAAAGAAAAACUAAAUUCAUGGGGACAAAAAAACAAAGAUUUAAAUCCAAAGACAAUGAGUUAGGAAAACAUGCACUUGACCACUAAGUCAGUCAAUACAUCACGUCUGAUUAUAUUUUCAAAGUCAAGAUAUAUAAUAUAAAAUUUAGACUUUGAAUGUAAAAAAAAAAAAAAAAAAAGGUUUCAUAGCCACACCAAACCUUAGAAAGGCCACCCCUGAUCACUAAUCAGUGAGAUUAUUCCAUAAAUAAAACCAUAUGAUAUGCAUAAGUGCAUAACAUUUAUGAUAUUCUAGUGUUGUUUCCCUUAAGCCCUCUUAAACACAACCCUAAAUGAAGGAACUUGAUCACUAAGAGCCAAGUGUUUUUUCCCAUGAUCAUAAACAUAUAACCCUAGUUCCCUACACAAAGUUUGACAUUUACACACUGAAGGACAAAAUGAAAACACAUAAUCUUUAUCAGCUUUCUCAAUCUUAAACCAAUUAAAAAUUGUGUCAAACCCCGGAUUACCUUCUACACCUCCUGUAGCCAAAAACCACACCCCCGACAACACUUUAUUAAGCUUCCAAACUUGUGAUUGAGCACAUGUAGUUUUUGUUACAUAGGAUUUAAUAUUGAGAUCAGUUGAGGUUAAAAUCACACCUUUCUUAGCAUUAUAAGGUGUGAAAGUAACUGCUUGACCAUUUUUUACUUCAAGCUUCUCUUGAAGAACAUAAAGGGGACAUGUGUUAUUGUUACCGUUGAGGUUGUUUUCAUUUACAACUGUUAACCCACCACCUUUGCCUCUUAUGACUGGUAAAAUAUAGUAUUUCACACCUGUUGUUACUUUCUUGCCUGAGAUGUCAAGAACUGGUUCAGGUGCUGCAAAGGUUUUGCAAAUGAAGGCUAAAAAGAUGAUGGAAAAUGCUAAGAAUGAGGUUUUCAUGUUUCUCUAUGGAAUUAGAAGAAUAGAUUUAGAUGAAUGAUUAUAGAAAGAGUAUGUCCCUAUUUAUAGGACUUAAAUGGAAUAUAAGUUUU